GCUAAAAUUCUAGCCCUAACUAAACCUGAUAACCAAUUAUUUUUUACAUAACCAAUUAAAACAUUCAAAUAUUCUAGUAAAGGCGAUUGAAAAAUUUCUAGGAGCAAUAUAUAAAGUACCGCAAGGGAAAGAUGAAAUAAAAAUGAAACUUUAAGCCCAAAAAAGUAAAGAUUAACUCUUGUACCUUUUGCAUCAUGAUCUAAUUAGUCGAACCAAGCAAAAUGAUUUUUAGUUUGACUCCCCGAAACUAGACGAGCUACUCCGAGGCAGCUUCAUGAGCAACCCCAUCUCUGUUGCAAAAGAGUGGGAAGAUCUCCGAGUAGCGGUGACAGACCUAACGAGCCUAGUGAUAGCUGGUUACUUAAGAAAAGGAUCUUAGUCCCGCCCAAUGUUAAAAGAAUAGUCAAAAAUAUUAACUUAACCUUGGAGUAAUUCAAAUAAGGUACAGCCUAUUUGAAAUAGGAUACAACCUAAGCAAAUGGGUAAUUAAAACACUGACAUGAUCAAGUAGGCCUAAAAGCAGCCAUCUUUUAAAAAGCGUCAAAGCUUAUUAUUGAAAAGCAAAAAAUUACAUAAAAAUUUUUUAACCCUUAUCCACUAUUAAGUAAUUUUAUACAAUAUAUAAAAUAUAUUAUGUUAGAAUUAGUAACAAGAAGGGGACCUUCUCUUAAAUGUAAGUGUAGAUCAGAAAGGACACACCACUGAUAAUUAACACCGCUGAAAUUAAAGUAGUAACUCAACAAGAAAAUUCUACUAAACUUAUUGUUAAUCUAACACAAGCGCAUUAUAAGAAAGAUUAAAAGAAAAAGAAGGAACUCGGCAAAUUUUAACCCCGCCUGUUUACCAAAAACAUCGCCUCUUGCUUAAUUAUAAGAGGUCUAGCCUGCCCAGUGACUCUGUUCAACGGCCGCGGUAUCCUAACCGUGCGAAGGUAGCGUAAUCACUUGUUCUUUAAAUAAGGACUAGUAUGAAUGGCAUCACGAGGGUUAUACUGUCUCCUUUCUCUAAUCAGUGAAAUUGAUCUCCCCGUGAAGAAGCGGGGAUAAUACUAUAAGACGAGAAGACCCUAUGGAGCUUUAAACAAACUACAUAUGCUACUCCUACACUAAAGUUUCUGAAAAUUAAAAUGUAUACCAGCACCAUGAUAGGGAGUUUUGGGUUGGGGUGACCGCGGAGAAAAACACAUCCUCCGCAUUGAAUAAGAUUAAAUCUUUAGCCAAAAGUUACAACUUAAUGCAUCAAUAAAUUGACAUUAUUGACCCAAUAUUUUGAACAACGAACCAAGUUACCCUAGGGAUAACAGCGCAAUCCAUUUCAAGAGCCCCUAUCGACAAAUGGGUUUACGACCUCGAUGUUGGAUCAGGGUAUCCCAGUGGUGCAGCCGCUACUAAAGGUUCGUUUGUUCAACGAUUAAAACCCUACGUGAUCUGAGUUCAGACCGGAGUAAUCCAGGUCAGUUUCUAUCUAUAAAAAGACUUUUUCAGUACGAAAGGACCAAAAAGACACGGCCACUGUGCCACACAAGCCGUAUCUAAUAAUUUGUGACUAAGACUUAACAAAAAAUUAGAAUUUUUUUGUUACUCAAGAUAAGAGUA
rnacentral:rRNA from 1 species